rnacentral:rRNA from 1 species
ACUCAAAUGAAUUGACGGGGGCCCGCACAAGCAGCGGAGCAUGUGGUUUAAUUCGAAGCAACGCGAAGAACCUUACCAGGUCUUGACAUCAAUGGAAUUUCUGAGAGAUCAGAAAGCGCCUUCGGGCGCCAGAAGACAGGUGGUGCAUGGUUGUCGUCAGCUCGUGUCGUGAGAUGUUGGGUUAAGUCCCGCAACGAGCGCAACCCUUGCGAUUGGUUGCUAACAGGUAAAGCUGAGGACUCCAAUAGGACCGCCGGGGACAACUCGGAGGAAGGUGGGGACGACGUCAAAUCAUCAUGCCCCUUACGACCUGGGCUACACACGUGCUACAAUGGCCACUACAAAGAGAGGCGAAGUCGUAAGGCGGAGCGGAUCUGUGAAAAGUGGUCUCAGUUCGGAUUGAGGGCUGCAACCCGCCCUCAUGAAGUCGGAGUUGCUAGUAAUCGCGAAUCAGCAUGUCGCGGUGAAUACGUUCCCGGGCCUUGCACACACCGCCCGU